CUCUCUCUCUCUCUCUCUCUCUCUCUCUCUCUCUCUAUCUAAACAGAUGCCCUAAUCCCUUCCAACAGAAAUCAACGGAUCGGUUUUGAUUUUGAUUUCGAAGUUCUCUUAUUUUGAAUCCUUGCGCCUUCUCUGAUUUCGAUUUCAUCUGAAUCUCUGAUUUCGAUUUCGAUUUCGAAGCUCCACCGCCACCACCAUCUGCACCGACGAGGUAGAGAUUUAGAUCGGUCUCAGUGAUAUCAUCUCAGAGCAAUUUCGAUUUCGAAGAUCCAAAACACCAUCUGCACCAUCGUCUACUAAGGUCCUGUUGCUGAAGACAUGUUUCACUGGCAGGCAACAAUUAUGGGUCCACCUGACAGUCCUUAUGCUGGUGGGGUUUUUCUAGUUACCAUCCAUUUUCCUCCAGAUUACCCUUUCAAGCCACCUAAGGUGUCUCCUCCA